rnacentral:rRNA from 1 species
AGCAGCAGCCGCGGUAAAACGUAGGGUGCAAGCGUUAAUCGGAAUUACUGGGCGUAAAGCGUGCGCAGGCGGUUAUAUAAGACAGAUGUGAAAUCCCCGGGCUCAACCUGGGAACUGCAUUUGUGACUGUAUAGCUAGAGUACGGCAGAGGGGGAUGGAAUUCCGCGUGUAGCAGUGAAAUGCGUAGAUAUGCGGAGGAACACCGAUGGCGAAGGCAAUCCCCUGGGCCUGUACUGACGCUCAUGCACGAAAGCGUGGGGAGCAAACAGGAUUAGAUACCCCUGUAGUCCCUGUCUCUUAUAC